rnacentral:SRP_RNA from 1 species
UUGGUUCUCCCGCAACACUAACUUGUUAAUUUGGUCAGGUCUGGAAAGAAGCAGCCACAGCAGGAGAUGUGUGUGCCGGGAUGUCGCUGG